rnacentral:rRNA from 1 species
CAUCGCCUCUUGCCCCCCAUUUAAUAUAAGAGGUCCUGCCUGCCCUGUGACAAAUUUUAACGGCCGCGGUAUUCUGACCGUGCGAAGGUAGCGUAAUCACUUGUCUUUUAAAUAGAGACCUGUAUGAAUGGCAUAACGAGGGCUGAGCUGUCUCCUCCCCCCAGUCAAUGAAAUUGAUCUGUCCGUGCAGAAGCGGACAUAACCCCAUAAGACGAGAAGACCCUAUGGAGCUUAAGACAAAGGAACAGCCCACGAAGAACCCCCUGAAAUUACUCAAGAGGCAAACAAUAUGGCCCUCUGUCCUAUGUCUUUGGUUGGGGCGACCGCGGGGAAACAAGAAACCCCCGCGUGGAACGGAUAACUCCCGAAACAAGACCUACAAGUCGAACAAGCAGAAAUUCUGACCAAAAAGAUCCGGCAAAGCCGAUCAACGGACCCAGUUACCCUAGGGAUAACAGCGCAAUCCCCUUUUAGAGCCCAUAUCGACAAGGGGGUUUACGACCUCGAUGUUGGAUCAGGACAUCCUAAUGGUGCAGCCGCUAUUAAGGGUUCGUUUGUUCAACGAUUAAAGUCCUACGUGAUCUGAGUUC